UACGUAGGGUGCAAGCGUUAAUCGGAAUUACUGGGCGUAAAGCGUGCGCAGGCGGUUUUGUAAGUCUGUCGUGAAAUCCCCGGGCUCAACCUGGGAAUUGCGAUGGAGACUGCAAGGCUAGAAUCUGGCAGAGGGGGGUAGAAUUCCACGUGUAGCAGUGAAAUGCGUAGAGAUGUGGAGGAACACCGAUGGCGAAGGCAGCCCCCUGGGUCAAGAUUGACGCUCAUGCACGAAAGCGUGGGGAGCAAACAGGAUU
rnacentral:rRNA from 1 species